CCUACGGGGGGCAGCAGUGGGGAAUAUUGGACAAUGGGCGAAAGCCUGAUCCAGCCAUGCCGCGUGUGUGAAGAAGGCCUUCGGGUUGUAAAGCACUUUCAGUGGGGAAGAAAGCCUUGGGGCUAAUACCCUCGAGGAAGGACAUCACCCACAGAAGAAGCACCGGCUAACUCCGUGCCAGCAGCCGCGGUAAUACGGAGGGUGCGAGCGUUAAUCGGAAUUACUGGGCGUAAAGCGCGCGUAGGCGGUCUGAUAAGCCGGUUGUGAAAGCCCCGGGCUCAACCUGGGAACGGCAUCCGGAACUGUCAGGCUAGAGUGCAGGAGAGGAAGGUAGAAUUCCCGGUGUAGCGGUGAAAUGCGUAGAGAUCGGGAGGAAUACCAGUGGCGAAGGCGGUCUUCUGGACUGACACUGACGCUGAGGUGCGAAAGCGUGGGUAGCAAACAGGAUUAGAUACCCCGGUAGUC
rnacentral:rRNA from 1 species